UAUUUAGCAGUGAAUUGCCGCGCGCGACGUUAAGUAAAAUACAUUCUCACGUGCUGCAUACCUUUUCUCUUUGUCUCCGUAUUUAGCCAAAAUCAGAUCUACAGUUGAAUUCGUUAUGCCAGGCCAUUUUUGGUUGGGUUCCAUACCAACAAAUUUAAAAAGUAUUCAAGAAUACCUUGAUGUUGCUGCUGAUUAUGAAGCAACAGAUGUAUCUGUUAGCUAUUCGAGUCGCCCGUAUGCUCUUAAGCAAGGAAUUAGUCUAUUGAGAGAUAAAGAAGACCUGGAAUUUUUGCUUAAUCUGAUAGAAUGGCUUUGGGGAAGGAAAGAAGAACUGAAGUCCCUGAAGACAGUAUGUGAUCUAGUUGAGGCUCAACUUCAUGUUGAAAAUGUUGCUUCUAAUCUUUUAAUCUGGGCUGAAAGUGGAUUCCAGUUACUCCCAGUUAAUCGGCUCAACAAAAUUGUUGUUGGGGCAUUCUUCAGUGCCAAAAUAUUGAUGAAUGUGUGCUCAAUCUUUGGCAAGCUAAACAAAGAAAUGGCCAAAAACAAAAAAUAUUUCAGUUUACACAUUGUCAACAUGACAAAUUGCAGACUUCCUUCCUAUCUGAGGUGAUGCCUAACAUAUUGACAACUUUGAAGCACAAAUCCAACCCACAUCCUGUUAUUUCAUGAAUAAGUAUUUGCCUGGAUAAUCUCAGUUUGUGAUAAGACUGCACGAGAGAUGUCGUCCUUCUUGUAUAGAACGCCUCAUAUACUAGAUAUUUCCGUGUUUGGUAUUGUUCGAGUGCACACUGGUAGGUUAAAUAAAAAACAAGCUGAAAUUUAAACAUGACAAAGAUAAGUACGGAAAGGAAGGUGAUCUUUUUCCAAAAAGGAAAUGAAUAUUCGGAAAGUGCUGGGCAAAGGAAGGCCGGAAAUUUGACUAGGGACGGAGAAAAGCAUUUUGUGGCUUUCUACAUUAACAAAAUCAUCAAUGACCUCUUCGUUGUCUAAUAGGUCCAGCUUUACAAUUGCCGCAAAGGGACAUCGAAUCCCCUAACAGUUAGUUUUCUUCACGUGGAAAUUUGUAUGGAAGAAGGCUGGCCACUGAUGUUUGAUCGGCAGCCAACGUCAUUAAGGGAGGGCAAGCCGGAAGAGCCUACAUUUCGGUUCCUGCCCAAUUACCGGAAUCUGAUCUUUUAUCCUCAAUCGCUACAUCCAUUCCUUUUUUCUGUGACAUUUCUCAUCGUUCCUGACAGUAAAAAAAAAGGCAAACGGAAAUUAGCAGUCACUCACGAAGUAGCUUGAACUCGCGGUAAAAUAUCCUGCUGGAGCAAAGCAGUUUUCUUCAGAAUUCCUUAACAUUCCGAAGAGCUUUUUCUACAGCCUUUACUGCAUCUUAGACACUAGCAAAAAUUGCCAUGUGUAAGAUCUGGAGUUAAUUGCCGUGGCAAAGCGGCCAUAUCGCACACACGAAAAUUGAUUGGAAAAGAUAUAAUUCGGAGAUAAAUCGAUGCCGAGUUCAAGUUUGGCUUUAAUCAAAAUGACACAUUUAUUCGGUCCAUUGGACCCUGGAACAUCACGAAACAAUCACGCUGGGAUUAAAAGCGUUUUCUGAGCGAGAUAUACGGCCAGCUCACGGAAAUGGAUUCAUCACCUCCUGAAAAUUGAUUGUUGGCCUGGAAUUAAUGAGAGCUGCAUUGGAAGUAUUACCCUUUCUAUUAAAAGUUUUUUUGAAUUUUUGCCUGUCGCAAUUCCAAUCGGCUUUGACUAUUCGCUACUGAAUA